rnacentral:rRNA from 1 species
GUGGGGAAUUUUGGACAAUGGGGGCAACCCUGAUCCAGCCAUGCCGCGUGCGGGAAGAAGGCCUUCGGGUUGUAAACCGCUUUUGUCAGGGAAGAAAUCCUUUGGGUUAAUACCUCGGAGGGAUGACGGUACCUGAAGAAUAAGCACCGGCUAACUACGUGCCAGCAGCCGCGGUAAUACGUAGGGUGCGAGCGUUAAUCGGAAUUACUGGGCGUAAAGCGUGCGCAGACGGUUUUGUAAGAUCGAUGUGAAAUCCCCGGGCUCAACCUGGGAACUGCAUUGGUGACUGCAAGGCUGGAGUGCGGGAGAGGGGGAUGGAAUUCCGCGUGUAGCAGUGAAAUGCGUAGAUAUGCGGAGGAACACCGAUGGCGAAGGCAAUCCCCUGGGCCUGCACUGACGCUCAUGCACGAAAGCGUGGGGAGCAAACAGGAUUAGAAACCCUAGUAGUCC